rnacentral:rRNA from 1 species
AUUGAACGCUGCCGGCAGGCCUAACACAUGCAAGUCGAACGAGUGGCGGACGGGUGAGUAAUGUCUGGGAAACUGCCCGAUGGAGGGGGAUAACUACUGGAAACCGUAGCUAAUACCGCAUACCAUCGGAUGUGCCCAGAUGGGAUUAGCUAGUAGGUGGGGUAACGGCUUACAUAGGCGACGAUCCCUAGCUGGUCUGAGAGGAUGUCCAGCGAUCGUGGAACUGAGACACGGUCCAGCCGACGACGGGAGGCAUCAGUGGGGAAUAUUGCACAAUGGGCGCAAGCCUGAUGCAGCCAUGCCGCGUGUAUGAAGAAGGCCUGCGGGUUUGAAAGUACUUUCAGCGAGGAGGCGUUACUCGCAGAAGAAGCACCGGCUAACUCCGUGCCAGCAGCCGCGGUAAUAC